UUUUACCAGAUAAGCUUUUUAAAAAAUUAUGUUCAACAAUUAUCUUUUUAUUGUAGUUAAGUUUUUCAAAUUCUUGCUGUUUUCAAUAUCUCCUGGUUUCAUCAUCCCUACUGAGAAAUUACGUAUACAAUCUUAUAAUUAAUUGUUUGCUUUGGUCUUCUUUUAUUUUCCUGCUUUAUGAUAAAAUUUUCAUUAGCCUAAAUGUGUUAUUAAUUUUUCUUGUUUCUUAAAUAUUUGUUCAAUAUUAUAUUCACAACUUUAAGUUCAAAGGAUCAGUUUUCUGAACAGAUCUUCAUACACUAUAAAUUCCUUGUUGUAUGACCAUCUCUAAUAAUUUUAUUUUUAAUUUUUAGGUAAUGCCUGAUUAUAAUUUAAAUAAGGACGUUGACAAAAAUUAAUGAACCAUUUGCACAAAAAAUAUUUGAAUCAACAUUUAUUCACUCCUGGAAGAUAUUAAAUAUUUCAACAGAAUAUUCCAAUGGAUGGAACUUUUUCCAGCAUCUGGAUUAUUUUCCAGGUUAGACACAUGUUUGUCCACAGACUUGUCUUCUCUGAAUGAAAUCCAAAAGUUGUUUUUACUCCUAGAACCCUCAAAGCCUCUCUGUUUUUUGUCUAUCUAUUUUGCUCACUGUUGUUGAAUCUAUAUUCUUCAAAUGUGCCUUUACCAAGUCUCCAAAAUCACUGUGAGUAUAUGAUUCUCUGGGUAUGAGGUUGUGUAGUCAUGUCAAAUUAAAAUUUAAUAUUCCACAUACAGUCUGCACAGACAAAUAUAAGAAAUUUUGUAAUAACAUUUGUCUUGGUUAGUGUUGAUAGCUGAAUGCGAUUUCUUAUUCUACUGUGGAUCAAUAGAUCAAGAUUCCUUCAGAGAGGAAAGGCAAGUACCCAAAGGUUUUCUUCUAAUGACUGAAACACGUGGUCAGAAGACACACUAUUAACACUCGUCCUAAUAAUUUUUCAGCUAAAGAGUUGGGAAUGUAAGGAAAGGAAAUGGCUAGACUAUUCAAGAUUCUACUGGCAGAUUAUUUGUGAUGGUUGGUCUCUUUUUGCCUCCUAGAACAUUCAAGAGUACUUCAAGAUGCAAAGGAAAGAAGAGUUAAGAAAAGAAGGCCUUUCAUAACAUAUUGUUCCACAGGGGCUCUGAGCCCCACCAGGACAAAGUUUUCACAGUUGCUAGAGUUAACAAGACACGAAACCUACUAGGAAAAGACCUGACUUCUAUUUGCCAUGAUGGAAAACUCCCCACAGUAAUUCUGGAAUGUUUUAUGUUACUAUCUGCCUUAUGGACAAGAUCCUGCUUCUUAAAUGAACCCUAAUCUCUUCAAUUCCAUCAGCAUGAAGAGAAACAAUUGUGCAUCAAAUCAUUGGCUAUACAAUAAGGAUAUGCUGUCUCUCAACAAAGAAAAUGGAACCAAAACUGAGGGUAUAUUGGCAAUAUCACUAAACAUAGCAUCAUGUCAAACAAUAAAGAAGUUGGAUUGUGAAAAAGAUGUAAACAUAAAAACAAUCCAUCUGUGCAUAUGGUAGCAUGUAUCUUAAAGGAAUUACUUCAAAUUAUCAAAGGAAAUUUGCUGACAUCUAGACUAUAUGAAGAAUGACUUGGGGUACAUGACCAGGUCAAUGAAGAAGAGAAAGUAGCCACUGUGCAGAGUCCUUAUUUCAAAUACCUCCCACCAGGACCAAAUGUGUAUGGUCUUGUCUAUUGAUAAGACAGAAAACCUACUUGAAAAAGAGCUGACAACAAUUUGUGAUGAUCGAAAUCUGCCCACAGAAAUUCUGGAUAUGCUGUUCUUCAUCCAAGAAAAGGGGCCCCAAAUUCAGGAUAUAUCCAUAAUUUCACACAACAUAGCAUCAUGAAGAAGUUGGAUUGUGAAGAAGAUGUAAACAUAAAAAAAUAAUCCAUCUGUGUAUAUGGUAGCAUGUAUCUUAAAGAACUUGCUUAAACAACCAGACUGUGGGACUAACAAAAGUGAAGCUUCUCCUGCAUUUCUCUGAGGCCCAAUCCCAAAGCAGAUAUCCUGAUCCUCUGGUAUACAAUCAUUCUGACUUUUUAAACAAAUUUUUGGAGCCCAAGGUUAAGGAGUUAGUAUGUAUAUGUAGGCAGUGGGGCAUGGAGCCACAGGAUAUUUUGUUCUUUGUACCUUGAAUACGUGCAGUUUUCAAUAGUCAUCAUCCAUUGCAAAAAGAAUCUCCUUCGAUGGAUGGGUAAGGACUACAUUAUCUGGGAAUAUCAUCUUAAACAAUUAGACUACAGUUAGGAACAUCAUGCUUGUUUAGUGAAAUGGUCACAGGAAUUUAAGAGCCACGACCUC
rnacentral:sRNA from 1 species